CUAAGGUGGAGCUAGGUCCAACCACGCAUUUUGGACAGCUGAAUGGUUACCAUGGAGAUUAAAGGUUUUCUCAGGUGUGCAUGAAUACAUCAAGGUGACACUCUAGGUGUUUUGAUAGGGAAUUACAUUAUAGCAUGAUGUAAAGCUAAAAAAAAAAAUAAUUAAAUAAUCAAUUUUACAUAAUUCUGCCUCUUUUUAAAAUCGUAAUUGUGGGAAUCAUAAUACUCUGAAUAAUUUUAUACUUUCUCCUUCAGUUCUGUCCUGUAUGGCCUUGUUGUCAUAGACAGUGAAUUUACUUUAAUACAUUAGCGAGCUGCUGAGUCACAGCGGCGGCAGGUGGACUUUUCUCCCAGAAAUGUGGAAACUGAAACUUACAGUACAUCUUUGGUCCCGUUUUACCACUAAAAUACAUUUUGUUCCCCCUUCCUGCUAAAGUGUGUUUAGUGAAUUAUGAGGAAAAUACUCCCCUGAAGUCCAGUUAUUAUUAUUAUGAUCAAUUAUCCAGCGUUAAUAGUCAUGUGACGCCGCACAGUCCUCUUUCACUGCAGAUUCAAGUUUACGUACUCACCGAGCAAUUUGCUGCACUGCGUUCUGCUACAGUCAUCGCUCGUUGCCGCUAAUAUUUUAAUAUUAACAUGGAAGUGAGGACAGAUGCACACGGAAUAACGUCGUCGCGCAUAAACGCCGCCACUCUGUGAGUCUCCUGCUUACAGCCCAGCAGUGAAUGAGUUACUCCUGGUGCAGUGUGUGUGUGUGUGUGUGUUUGGGUGUGCGUGUGUGUGUGUGUGCUCGGCGCGCCCCUCCCUGGUCGCUCCACACGCCGCUGCUCGGUUGCCUGCAGACGGAUGUUGCCGCAUCUCGGCGCGCUGCGCUCCACCACUACGCUGCGUUCUUCUCCAAAUGUUGCCAAAUCUCCUCUGUCCUCCUGUCUCUACCCUGACAUACACACACACACACACCCACACGCACCCCCCCCCCCCCCCCCCCCACACUGUCUCUCUCUCUCUCUCUCUCUCUCUCUGUCUCCAACACACACACAGUCACACACUCUGACAACCACACGUAACGGCGACAUUUCUCUCCGGCUUCUACACACACACACAAGUCUCCGCUGAAAGUGGCUCAUCGUCAUCUAGAACGGAGAGCGGACUCUGCACCAUAAAAGUGAUGUCCUAGAGAUCGUGGUGCUUGUGAACCCGUCAGACGACACCGUUGUAUCAGAGAUCAAGUCCCUCGUGACAGAUUCUGCAGGACACAAGCUGCU